GAUUUCAACUAAAAAAGUUAUCAACAACAAAGUUGAAUAACUCAUCAUCAAGAUCUAAAACUUUUAUUUUGGUCAUUUCUUCAUCUGAUAAAGUGAUAAUAACAUUGUUCACAAAAUUGACAUAUCUCUUAUCUGAUUUUAUAAACUAUAACACAUAUAUGUAAAAUUUGUGAACAAUGUUACUAACAUUUUAUCAGAUGAAGAAAUGACCAAAAUAAAAGUUUUAGAUCUUGAUGAGUUAUUCAACUUUGUUGUUGAUAACUUUUUCAGUUGAAAUC
rfam:Oryza sativa (indica cultivar-group) chromosome 6, whole genome shotgun sequence.